AGAGUUUGAUCCUGGCUCAGGAUGAACGCUAGCGAUAGGCCUAACACAUGCAAGUCAGGGGCAUCACAUGAGGUAGCAAUACUGAUGGUGGCGACCGGCGCACGGGUGAGUAACACGUAUGGCAACCUGCCUUCAACAAGGGCAUAACCCGUUGAAAGACGGACUAAUUCCCUAUGACACAGGGGUCCCGCAUGGGGAUAUUUGUUAAAGAUUAAUCGGUUGGAGAUGGGCAUGCGUUCCAUUAGCUUGUUGGCGGGUAACGGCCCACCAAGGCAACGAUGGAUAGGGGAACUGAGAGGUUUAUCCCCCACACUGGUACUGAGACACGGACCAGACUCCUACGGGAGGCAGCAGUGAGGAAUAUUGGUCAAUGGGCGCAAGCCUGAACCAGCCACGUCGCCGUGAAGGAAGACGGCCCUACGGGUUGUAAACUUCUUUUGCAAGGGAAUAAAGUUGGCCACGCGUGGCCUUUUGCAUGUACCUUGCGAAUAAGGAUCGGCUAACUCCGUGCCAGCAGCGGC
rnacentral:rRNA from 1 species